UAUUUCAUAUUGGUGCUUCACAAAGGUGAAGAGAAUAGGGAAUCAGGUGAAACUCCUGAGCAGUCCUGCUACCGUAUGGGCGGAGCGGGUCUCCGAGCGAGAGCAGCCACUGGACAACAUGUCUGGGAAGGCGGAGACCAUGCAGUGAACCCCGAGCCGGAAGACCUGCCAGUAUGGGU
rnacentral:ncRNA from 1 species